rnacentral:misc_RNA from 1 species
UUGUUCAAAAAGCACGCGUAACGAAAUCUCACAGAAUGGUUCCAUAGAAGCCCGCCUUUCUAAUGCAUUUUGUUUGGUUUACGCUUUGGCAAGUACAUUUGAAAUAGAUUUCGUCAGUUUUUUGCCGAAAACCCAACUUAAACAUGGUACGUAGCCCUGUGACGCCGAAACACAGCAAAUGGUCCUACUUAAGGGCAAGGCCAAGGAUGGGCAAGAAGCCUGCAAACCGUACUUUCCUUCCUGAUUGGGAAGACACUCCACCAAACGUGCUUGGAAAAACUCAAAGGUCAUCGGAUGCAGUUUCUCCAUCAUUCACCACAACAUCUGGCAGCAGGGAGGCGGUCAGGCACUACAAACCAAAAGUGAUGACAAGUGUAUAUGAGAGUGAGCAAGAGAGUGAGCUAGAUGAAGACCCAUUUCCACCAUCUAUUCGAAAACUGAUCCUCAGGAAAUCAUCUGAGAAGGCUUUAUCUGCUGAGCCGUUGUCCAACUUGCCGCCCAGCGAGCCCUCUGAACGCUUGAAGGAUCUGUACAUAGACAAUGAAAGCUCACAUACAAAUGAAUACUCAAGUGAAUUUUCAAGAAAGACUCUGCCACUAGGUAGGCCAGUGCUAAAUAUUAUUUCAGAGCCGUACCCACCAGAGAGUAAACAUCUGCCAGUGAAGAAAGUGUCAACAUCUUUUGGAAAAAAGAAAUCGGGAAAACUAGACUUUGAAGCUGGCACAAUUGAUGUAGUUGUACCAACUUGUCAGGGACUACAUCAAACAGUUUCUAUGAAUCGGAGUGCUGCUAUUCAUGGUACAGAAAAGUAUGCUUUGAAGAAAUCAAAGAAUAGACGUUCCAGGAUACAGCGCGUGGAAGUACCAGAAAGCAGCCAAACUGGGAAUGAACAACUUGCAUUAGCUGAAAAGCAUAUGCCAGACGUUACGUACAUGCCAUACAGUUGCACACCUGUUGCUCAGGAAAUUCAGAUGAAACAAAAAAUACAAUAUACCUCUGAAUCCCAAGGCACAAAAUGCAGCCCAUCUGGAAGUCAGCAAGGUGUGGUAGCCAAAAAGUGCAUGUCAAAUUCUUCAGUAUUUGUGCCACAAGGUCACAGUACACCUCUCCCUUCAGUGAGACAUAUUAUUUCUAUUGGAUCUUCUAGUAUUCCAAUGGAGCUUAGCUCUGGGUUAGCAAGACGGAGAACAACUGCAACACAAUGGAAAACACAACCGGCUUCUUCGGCCACCGAAAAGGCACAGGAAGUACAGAGUGAAGAGGUGUCUCCUGUCAUACCUAAGCUUCUGGAAUGUGGUCGAACGAGAAAUGGCAAAAGGAAUGCACAGCUAAUAACAGAGUCAUCAAUCAUACCCAAGCUUCAGGAAUGCACUCGAGCAAAGAAGCCCAUAAUGGACACACAUGAGGUUUGGGAUCAAGUUAAUCUCUGUGACCAACCUAGUGGACUUACUGCCAGCAGUGAUGAGGAAGUACAGAGUGAAGAGGUGUCUCCAGUCAUACCUAAGCUUCUGGAAUGUGGUCGAACGAGAAAUGGCAAAAGGAAUGCACAGCUAAUAACAGAGUCACCAAUCAUACCCAAGCUUCAGGAAUGCACUCGAGCAAAGAAGCCCAUAAUGGACACAAAUGAGGUUUGGGAUCAAGUUCAUCUCUGUGACCAACCUAGUGGAUAUACUGCUGGCAGUGAUGAGAGUGAAGAGGCAUCUCCUGGCAUACCUAAGCUUCAGGAAUGUGGUCAAACAAGAAAAGGCAAAAGGGAUGCACAGCUGGUAACAGAGUCGCCAGUCAUACCCAAGCUUCAGGAACGCACUCGAGCAAAGAAGCCCAAAAUGGACUCACAUGAUUUGCAACUGUCUCCAUCCGUAGCCACUGUUCAAAAACAUGCACAAAGGAAAAAGCGCAAAAGACCCAAGGUUUGGGUUCAAGUUCGGCUCUAUGACCAGCCUGGUGGACUGCGCACAAAAGAAGAUGUGACCAUGUACGACAUCUAUCUUUCACUUGCCCUUGAAAUAAUUGAAGUUAACAGAACUGUUCUUUUAAUUGUACCAACAUGCCCAAGUCUCCGCUCUUCAUGGCUUCUACCUUUGCAUGUUCCUUCACUCUGUGCAAAGCAGCAUCAUACCUGGUUACACCUCUUCCUCUGCUCUAGUGACAGCAGUGUCAGUCAAAGAAAGGCAAAAAGGUUAUGGAUCAGUUUUAUAAAGAAGUUGCUAAGGAUGCCAUCGGAAUGAUUGAUGAACUCCAACUCUACACCAACGAGCUUGUAGAACUGCAACAGGAAAUCAUGAAGAUGAUGCGUUUGAGAAAAGAACUGGAUAGGAUUAGCCGUGGGCUGGGCAAGUAUGUUAGGGAAAACGACAUCAGAAAUGUGGACCCAUACCAGUUUUACUUUGAAGACGAAGAAGACUAUUAUGUGUAAUCCAUAACGAACUUCUGUAUGAAUUCAGUUUAUUUUUAUUUCAGACCGCACAGAGCAAAACAUGACUGCAUGAAAACAUUUUAAUAUUUUAAACAUUUUAAUGUACAAGGUUUUUUUAUUGGAUUAACUUAGGACAUCUGUCCUUACUUUUGUCUGCCCACAUGGCAUAAUCCACUGCUCUACCAGGGACAAGUUCCUGGUCAUUGUUCUCAAAGCAAACCAGGGACAAUGACGCCAAACAAACUAGCUGCUGCAACAUCAAAAAAUGGAAUAAGCAACCGGCAUUUUUCCUAUUGCAUACUUAAACGAAUUAGUUUCUGCAAUUUUUUUUAUUCAUGCAUAACAAAGCAGCACUGUGUAAAGUUUUUACAGUAAAGUUUUAUGUAAAAAUGA